rnacentral:rRNA from 1 species
GUAGACCUCAGGUGAUGUGUGGUAACCCCCUGAAUUUAAGCAUA